CUCAGCGGGUAGCCCCGCCU
rnacentral:rRNA from 1 species